rnacentral:lncRNA from 1 species
UAAUUCUCUCCUCUCUCAUUUAGAAAUAAAUAAACUUAGCUAGAAAUAUGAAUCAAUUAGAAUUCGAAUUUGGAAUCUCGGAUAUCAAUCACCAAACCCUUUGCCACUUGCUCUAGAAACGGUCGGUUAAAAUUGCAAAUAGUUAAAAAUAUAAUAACUAUAGCUACAUAUAUUUUAUUUGGUUGGAUACAAUAAAAAUCAUUAUAAUCCCACGGCAA